AUUACAACUCUUCAACCUCUGGACUAUGAACGUCAUUCCCAGUAUAUAUUUAUUCUAAAAGCUUUCAACCCAGGAGAGCCAUAUCUCCAGGACACAGCAAACAUUACAGUUACUGUGGAGGAUGUUAAUGAAGAAGGACCCAUAUUUGACAAGCCCUCCUACUACCAGAUCCUUCUAGACAACUCUACAGCUGGUACACUGGUAGUAGAUAUCAAUGCAAGAGAUGAAAGCAAGGGUUAUGAUGAAGGCAUUUUCUACAAUAUUUCAGGUGGAAACUCAGAAGGUCUCUUCAGUCUUUCCAGUGCCACAGGAGUACUCACAUUAACAAGAGACUUAUCCAAACAGACUGUUCCCCUAUAUUACUCCAUGCUGGUCAC